rnacentral:lncRNA from 1 species
AUACUUCUGUCUGAGUUAUCAGGGGUCCCUCAUCAUGCUCAUGCAAUAUCAAAAAUGAUAAAAAAAGAAUAAUCGUGUUAAGAAACAAUAAUUAGUGCGGUCGGGGUUGCAUAAUAGGUUUUAGCACGCAGCUUCUCUGGAUUGUCAAGGUCAACAUCCAGUGUUAUAAAGUGAUACAGUCCUGAACUGGAAUUAUCAAUGUUUAAAACAACAUCUACAGACUCAACAUUCAUAUGCAAUACUCACACACUUCAGAAACAGGUGAUCACAAUAUUAGUACAUCAAUUCCCAAGUAUCAAUGUACAUUUUUUCCCCACAGCACUUGCUAAAAUCAAUUUGAAACAAGCAUUUGGUUUACUUAUCAAAGUUAACACACUUUGACACACUGAAUUUGUUAUAAAAUAUGACUUGGUAUGAAAUAUAUAUUAUUCCAGGUUGACAUAUACAUGUUUUGGUCAUUGUUGGUGUUUGUAUUCUUUAAUCGAAUGAUUUUAGUGAAAUAAUCAAUAAAUCUUAACGCCAGGUCACAAUGUACAACUUGCAAAAAUUACAAUUUAAAUAAUAUAAAUAGUUUUUUUAUCGCCCAUAUUAAUUUUUGGUAUAACGUUGUCUGUUGUCAACAUGUCGGACACUAGCUCAAAAACAGUUUAAUCAAUAUUUAGAUUAUACUUUGGUGAAUUGUUUAUAUCUAUUGACUAGAGCUCCAUUUUGGGUUUUUUUAACAAAUUUCAUAUUAUAUGUUUCCUAGUUUUUUUUUUUUUUUCUUCUGUUUAUUAAUUUCUGUCCUCAUUACUUUAUAGAAUGCCUAAGAGGAAGUAAAGGUAGAAUGUGCCAUAUCACAGGAAAAGACGUGGAACUGGCAAACCAAAAUUAGACAAAGGGCAAACUGAAAUACAUGCACUUACGCCAGACAUCGCACAUGAUGAAGAUCUUUUGUCAUCUGAAACAGAAGAGCUUACAUGCACCAGUGUGGAUUCAGUCUCUUUGGAUCAUUCAUAUUUGUCUGAUAACCAGACAGUGGCAGAACUUUGUUUAGAUGAAGAAACAGCUUGAUGUUAAUCAACAUAUUAAACUUGAAUGCAAAAAAGAAUGUGUAAUAUCAGAUCUAGAAGACCCUUACAAGGCAUUGAAAAAGACAGUUUGUACUAGUCCAACUUUUCCAUAUGUAUAUAAUUCUGCUUCCACUGACCACUUGCAAAUUAUAGAACAUUAUCCAUCAUCUAAAAGUGUGUAUGUUAAAUUAACUAUCCUAAUCAACAAAGAUUUUUCAGCAAAGUAAUAUGUUCACGGCAUCGACCUUAGUAGAGAACAUUAUAUCUGGUUAGGAUUGCCAAGUGUGUAUGACAACAUAACAAGUAUUGAGAGACUAUUGUCUAAAUUAAAGAGUUACACUGUUUGUGUAUACAUGUAUAUAUGUAAUAUAUGUUGUGUUUGAGAUAAAUAGAUUUAAAUCUA